rnacentral:rRNA from 1 species
AAUUCGAUUGAGUUUGAUCAUGGCUCAGGACGAACGCUGGCGGCGUGCUUAACACAUGCAAGUCAAGGGGGCCCAGCAAUGGGCAACCGGCGAACGGGUGCGUAGCACGUGAGCAACCUACCGAACUGUGGGGGAUAGCCGGCCUAACGGCCGAGUAAUACCGCAUACGCUUUCAGUGAGGCAUUUCAUUGAAAGGAAACCUACGGGACAGAUCGAGGGGCUCGCGGCCUAUCAGCUAGUUGGCGAGGUAACGGCUCACCAAGGCAACGACGGGUAGCUGGUCUGAGAGGAUGGCCAGCCACAUUGGGACUGAGAUACGGCCCAGACUCCUACGGGAGGCAGCAGUGGGGAAUCUUGCGCAAUGGCCUAACGGCUGACGCAGCGACGCCGCGUGUGGGAUGAAGCUCUUCGGAGUGUAAACCACUGUUGCCCGGGACGAACAGCUCGAUUAGUCGAGCCUGACGGUACCGGGUGAGGAAGCACCGGCUAACUCCGUGCCAGCAGCCGCGGUAAUACGGGGGGUGCGAGCGUUGUCCGGAAUCACUGGGCGUAAAGGGCGCGUAGGUGGUUUGAUAAGGGUGUGGUGAAAGUCCGGGGCUCAACCCCGGAUCUGCCGUGCCGACUGUCAAACUCGAGGACUGUAGAGGCAGACGGAAUUCCGGGUGUAGCGGUGGAAUGCGUAGAGAUCCGGAGGAAGACCGGUGGCGAAGGCGGUCUGCUGGGCAGUUUCUGACACUGAGGCGCGACAGCGUGGGGAGCAAACAGGAUUA